GAGUUUGAUUCUGGCUCAGGAUGAACGCUGGCGGCGUGCCUAACACAUGCAAGUCGAGCGCGGUUGUGCUUAGUAUUGAGUGUUUUAUUGAUAUAAAACAUUGAAUUCUAUGCACAACUGAGCGGCGGACGGGUGAGUAACGCGUGGGUAACCUGCCCUAUACACAUGGAUAACAUACUGAAAAGUUUACUAAUACAUGAUAAAAUAGUUUUUCGGCAUCGAAGAAUUAUCAAAGUGUUAGCGGUAUAGGAUGGACCCGCGUCUGAUUAGCUAGUUGGUGAGAUAACUGCCCACCAAGGCGACGAUCAGUAGCCGACCUGAGAGGGUGAUCGGCCACAUUGGAACUGAGACACGGUCCAAACUCCUACGGGAGGCAGCAGUGGGGAAUAUUGCACAAUGGGCGCAAGCCUGAUGCAGCAACGCCGCGUGAACGAUGAAGGUCUUCGGAUCGUAAAGUUCUGUUGCAGGGGAAGAUAAUGACGUACCCGNGAGCC
rnacentral:rRNA from 1 species